UUACGGGAGGCAGCAGUGGGGAAUAUUGCGCAAUGGGCGAAAGCCUGACGCAGCGACGCCGCGUGGGGGAUGAAGGCCUUCGGGUUGUAAACCCCUUUCAGCAGGGACGAAGCGAAAGUGACGGUACCUGCAGAAGAAGCGCCGGCUAACUACGUGCCAGCAGCCGCGGUAACACGUAGGGCGCAAGCGUUGUCCGGAAUUAUUGGGCGUAAAGAGCUCGUAGGCGGUCUGUUGCGUCCGCUGUGAAAACUCGGGGCUUAACCCCGAGCCUGCAGUGGAUACGGGCAGACUAGAGGUAGGUAGGGGAGAAUGGAAUUCCCGGUGUAGCGGUGAAAUGCGCAGAUAUCGGGAGGAACACCGGUGGCGAAGGCGGUUCUCUGGGCCUUACCUGACGCUGAGGAGCGAAAGCGUGGGGAGCGAACAGGAUUAGAUACCCUCGUA
rnacentral:rRNA from 1 species